rnacentral:tRNA from 1 species
GGGACCAGGGCCUUGGAGACGACGUCCAGGCACUCCCAGGGGGCGAGCAUGUCGAGGAUGACCCGGUCGACCUCGGUGUCGGAGAGGU